rnacentral:tRNA from 1 species
AAGGGAGACCUAAUUCAGGUAAAAGACGGAAAAAAAGUAGUCGCUACCAAGAAUCAAUCCCAAAAGGUCGGAGCGAGGCGAAAUUGGCUUUCAAACUAGGUUCUGGGUUCAAACAAGACCUGAAUCAGGAACAAGGGCUAUUAGCUCAGGUGGUUAGAGCGCACCCCUGAUAAGGGUGAGGUCCCUGGUUCGAGUCCAGGAUGGCCCACCUGCACAGGUGGCAAAAACAAGAGAAGCGAGGAAUCAGCACCUUAUCUUACUUAUAUAGUAAGAGAGAAUGCUGGCUCUGAGUAAAGAGUCCAGAGGAACCUUGAAAACUGCAUAGAGCUAGGUGAAAAAGCCAAGAAAGAAGACCGCAAGGUCAAGCUAAUAAGGGCUAACGGUGGAUACCUAGGCAC